rnacentral:lncRNA from 1 species
ACGUCUGUAAACAAUUCAAUUUAAAGAAACCCAUUUUAUGUCAGUUUUUCACUUAUAAUAAUAAUAAUAAAAGUGUAAUAUAGAAACGUCAAAAAUAUUUUCGUAAACAUGAAUUGCGAUGAUCUUUUUAUUUAGAACUGUACUCAUACAUAUAAAAAUACAUGGCGAUUAUG